rnacentral:tRNA from 1 species
CAUUAAGAAGCUAAACUGGGCCAUAGCAUUAGCCUUUUAAGCUAAAAAUGGUGACUCCCAACCACCCUUAAUGA